rnacentral:rRNA from 1 species
GUGCCAGCCGCCGCGGUAAUACCGGCAGCCCGAGUGAUGGCCGAUCUUAUUGGGCCUAAAGCGUCCGUAGCUGGCUGCGCAAGUCCGUCGGGAAAUCCACUCGCCCAACGAGUGGGCGUCCGACGGAAACUGCACAGCUUGGGACCGGAAGGCUCGAAGGGUACGUUCGGGGUAGGAGUGAAAUCCCAUAAUCCCGCACGGACCACCGAUGGCGAAAGCAUCUCGAGAAAACGGAUCCGACAGUGAGGGACGAAAGCGAGGGGCUCGAACCGGAUUAGAAACCCGGGUGUCC